CGUAACAUGGUUCUGCGUUGUCCGGCUUAUUCCGGUUAUUCGUGUUAACAGCUAGUCAGCGACGGUGGAAGUCACAGCGACAGUUGAAGCUUCAAACCGUAUAAAACUUUUAUCUUGGUUUUUUUUUUUUCGAGGAUUUACUCUGUUUCUUAAGGUACGACACUGACCAACGAAGAUAUGGUUAAAACCCAGCAGAGUCGUCUUGGCGAGGGAAUGCGUCUGGUUUUUGACCAGGAAUCCUCAGUGAUGUCCAGAUCUUCACGGAGCAGGAGCAGCAGCAGCAGCAGCAGCAGUAGUAGUAGCAGUAGUGAUAGUGGUAGUUCUUACUCCAGCGGUGAUCGAAGUAGAUCCCCGUCUGUGUCGCGCAGGUCACGGAGACGACACCGCCACGGAUCACGCUACUCUUCGUCUUCAAGCAGCAGCUCCCACUCUCGUUCACGUUCUCGUCCGCGCUGCUGCCGAGCUUCAGAUCGUUCCCGUUGCCGCCGUCAUCGCCAUAGAUCUUGCUCUUGCAGCCCCUAUCCCAGGCGCUCAUCCCGUUACGGGCGAAGGAGAUACUCGCGCUCUAACAGCCGCUCUUCUUCCCGGGACCGUUAUUACAGGAGGUCAAGGAGGUCCCGCUCUCGCUCCUCAAGCUACAGGAGAACAAGAGGUGCCUACAUUGGCAAGUUCAGGUGCCGAUUCUCCCCUUCACCUGUGAGGAGAUAUUACAGGCGCAGGUCGAAAUCUCCAGAGCGGUCCGUUCGGCUUAGUCAGAAAGACAAAAUGGAUCUUCUGAAUAUUGCCAGAGAGAAUGCAUCGAAGAUUCUGGGAGUAGAGGUGGUGACGCUGCCUGCCAGCGUGAGGUGUAUUGAGGAACAAGUGGAAAAGACGUUAGGGUCCGACACAGAGAAAAGGGUGAGAGCAGCCCCGGUGCCGCCGCAGGUGAGUGCCGUAUGCGCAAACGUGCUCGUUCCUAUCAACGGGAAUCAGUGACGUACUGCAAUGUCUGCCACUUUUCCAUCUGAAAAUGGGAAAAGAGCCUUUGCUCUUAUUAACAGAUGUGAUUAAAACGUGCUAAAUUAUAUAGGCCUCUACCUCACAUUUGAGAGAGGCUGUUUCAUCUUUGGCUAGGAUUUGAUCUUAGUGUCAUAUAGUCCUGUCUUAAAACAACUUGGGUCAUCGUGUAAAUUAUCUCCUCAGACCUGAUUGUUUUUGCCGAUGGAUGUAAUGGAAUCGUGAAGAAGACAAAAAAUAUAGACCACCUACAUACUGUCUGGUCUGGAUUAGAUCACAUGACAGUGGUCUGCACUCCUCCACCGUUUGGAGUAGGAGAAAGAGGUGGAAUAUCAUUUCACUUGAGAGACGCCAUUUUUCAAGACGGUUUAAAAUCUUGUAAUGUGCAAAGGUCAAGUAACGACAGUGCAAAUAUCGUUAGUCCUAGACUUUCCUCAUGUACCAUAUUGACUGAUACAGCACUUGAAGGUUUUUCAUAUUGUACUUAGUAAGAGGCGGGUGAUCCUGUCUCCGAGCACAUACCUUUAUCAAUAGGACUUUAAUGUGAGCUUGUUGAUGGUUCAACUGGGUGCGUUGUUAUUUACCCCAGAGACUUCCUCGGUUCUGUGUGUCUGAAGAACCUCAGGCGUACGGACCGGCUAUUAGGGGGCCUUUAAUCAGAAGCACCCUCGUAUACCAAAGACAAGUCUGCGCACAUAGCGCUGGAUCUGGGUUUGGCAAAAAAAAAAAUUACAUUUAUUGCAUCUUUAUUUAGGAUUGUUUGCUUUAUUUUAUGAACUCUGCUUUUAUACCUUUUUGUUUACUUUCUCUCUAACUGCAGCACAAGCGCUUGGGAGAGAUGGGUAGAAACAUAUGCACUACAAUGCCAAAGUCACUAUAAGUAGACUUGGUUUCCUUGUUUCUUAAUGCAUGUAAAACGUUUAGUUAGAAAAGAAC